rnacentral:rRNA from 1 species
AGUCUGGCCUGCCCACUGAGGGUAUUUAAAGGCCGCGGUAUCAUGACCGUGCGAAGGUAGCAUAAUCAUUAGUCUUUUAAUUGGGGGCUGGUAUGAAGGGUCGGACGAGAAAUGAGCUGUCUUAAAUUUUGAAAAUUGAAUUUAACUUUUAAGUGAGAAGGCUUAAAUAGGCUAGGGGGACGAUAAGACCCUAUAAAGUUUGACAUUAAAUUAAUUAAGGGUAAUUUAGAUUAUAAAGUCUUAUUAUUAUAUAAGUGUUUAGUUGGGGCGACUAGGAUAUAAGUUAUUUAACUGUUUCUUCAUUCGAAUCAAAAAUUUUUGAUUUUAUGAUCCUUUUUAAGGGUACUAGAGUAAAUUACUUUAGGGAUAACAGCGUAAUUUUUUUUGAGAGUUCUUAUCGAUAAAAGAGUUUGCGACCUCGAUGUUGAAUUAAAAUUUCUUUGUAAUGCAGCAGUUACAAGAGAGGGUCUGUUCGACCUUUAAAUUUUUACAUGAUUUGAGUUCAGACCGGCGUGAGCCAGGUUGGUUUU